GAUGAAGAACGUAGCGAAAUGCGAUAAGUAGUGUGAAUUGCAGAAUUCCGCGAAUCAUCGAAUCUUUGAACGCACAUUGCGCCUUCUGGUAUUCCGGAAGGCAUGCCUGUUCGAGAGUCAUUAACAACCGUUUCGAUCCCUUUCUUUCAGAAAUUACAAAGAGGAAAAGGGUUUGGUUAUGGUGGAGGAGGGAAAGGGAGCGUUUAGCCUGUAAAAAAAGAGGCUGUGUUCCGCCUCCCCCCCAAAAUUGUACAGGCGGUCGUGUGCGCCCACGCAUCGAGGUGUUGUAAAAGCUGCCACGGCACUUUUCACCUGUGCAGUGCGAGAUUGGCCAGCCGGUUUAAAAACCCCUCCAAACAAUCAAAGGUUGACCUCGGAUCAGGUAGGGAUACCCGCUGAACUUAAGCAUAUCAAUAAGCGGAGGA
rnacentral:misc_RNA from 1 species